AAUCAACGCUGGCGGCGUGCCUAACACAUGCAAGUCGAACGCGGAAGGGGCUUCGGCCCUGAGUAGAGUGGCGUCCGGGUGAGUAACGCGUGGGUAAUCUACCUUCGGGUGGGGAAGUAACCAGUCGAAAGAUUGGCUAAUACCGCAUAAAGACAACCGUUUCCCUAUUGAAGUGGUUGUUUAAAGGAGCAAUCCGCCUGAAGAGGAGCCUGCGUCUGAUUAGCUAGUUGGCGGGGUAC
rnacentral:rRNA from 1 species